AGUGAACGCUGGCGGUAGGCCUAACACAUGCAAGUCGAACGGCAGCACAGUAAGAGCUUGCUCUUACGGGUGGCGGGUGGCGGACGGGUGAGGUAUACAUCGGAAUCUACUUUUUCGUGGGGGAUAACGUAGGGAAACUUACGCUAAUACCGCAUACGACCUACGGGUGAAAGCAGGGGAUCUUCUGACCUUGCGCGGUUGAAUGAGCCGAUGUCGGAGUAGCUAGUUGGCGGGGUAAAGGCCCACCAAGGCGCCGAUCCGUAGCUGGUCUGAGAGGAUGAUCAGCCACACUGGAACUGAGACACGGUCCAGACUCCUACGGGAGGCAGCAGUGGGGAAUAUUGGACAAUGGGCGCAAGCCUGAUCCAGCCAUACCGCGUGGGUGAAGAAGGCCUUCGGGUUGGAAAGCCCUUUUGUUGGGAAAGAAAAGCAGCAGGUUAAUACCCCGCUGUUCUGACGGUACCCAAAGAAUAAGCACCGGCUAACUUCGUG
rnacentral:rRNA from 1 species